GACGAACGCUGGCGGCGUGCUUAACACAUGUAAGUCGAACGGAAAGGCCCUGCUGUUGUGGGGUGCUCGAGUGGCGAACGGGUGAGUAACACGUGAGUAACCUGCCCUUGACUUUGGGAUAACUUCAGGAAACUGGGGCUAAUACCGGAUAGGAGCUCCUGCUGCAUGGUGGGGGUUGGAAAGUUUCGGCGGUUGGGGAUGGACUCGCGGCUUAUCAGCUUGUUGGUGGGGUAGUGGCUUACCAAGGCUUUGACGGGUAGCCGGCCUGAGAGGGUGACCGGCCACAUUGGGACUGAGAUACGGCCCAGACUCCUACGGGAGGCAGCAGUGGGGAAUAUUGCACAAUGGGCGGAAGCCUGAUGCAGCAACGCCGCGUGCGGGAUGACGGCCUUCGGGUUGUAAACCGCUUUCGCCUGUGACGAAGCGUGAGUGAGGGUAAUGGGUAAAGAAGCACCGGCUAACUACGUG
rnacentral:rRNA from 1 species